CUCCACCCCUCAUAGCCUGGUUCCUCUCUAGGUUUAUAAUCUCCACCCCUCAUAGCCUGGUUCCUCUCUAGGUUUCUUCCUAGGUUUUGGCCUUUCUAGGGAGUUUUUCCUAGCCACCGUGCUUCUACACCUGCAUUGCUUGCUGUUUGGGGUUUUAGGCUGGGUUUCUGUACUGAGCUUUGUGACAUCAGCUGAUGUAAGAAGGGCAUUAUAAGUACAUUUGAUUGAUUUUUUGAUGUGUCAAAAACAUUUGUUUUCUCUUGUUGAAGAUCCAGAAAAUAUUCAUAUUUUCGGCAUAGGCAAGAUGCAGUAGAUGGUAUAGAGUACCGUAUAUACAUAUGAGAUGAGUAAUGUAGGGUAUGUAAAAAUUAUAUUAAGUGGCAUUGUUUAAAGUGGCUAGUGAUACAUUUAUUACAUCAAUUUUUCAUUAUUAAAGUGACUAGAAAUGAUUCAGUAUGUUGGCAGCAGUCACUCAAUGUUAGUGGUGGCUGUUUAUCAGUCUGAUGGCCUUGAGAUAGAAGCUGUUUUUCAGUCUCUCGGUCCCUGCUUUGAUGCACCUGUACUGACCUCACCUUCUGUAUGAUAGCGGGGUGAACAGGCAGUGGCUCGGGUGGUUGUUGUCCUUGAUGAUCUUUAUGGCCUUCCUGUAACAUCGGGUGGUGUAGGUGUCCUGGAGGGCAGGUAGUUUGCCCCCAGUGAUGCGUUGUGCAGACCUCACUACCCUCUGGAGAGCCUUACGGUUGUGGGCUGAGCAGUUGCUAUACCAGGCAGUGAUACAGCCCGCCAGGAUGCUCUCGUUUGUGCAUCUGUAAAAGUCGGUGAGUGUUUUUGGUGACAAGCCAAAUUUCUUCAGCCUCCUGAGGUUGAAGAGGCGCUGCUACGUCUUCUUCACGACGCUGUCUUUGUGGGUGGACCAUUUCAGUUUGUCCAUGAUGUGUAUGCCGAGGAAAUGAAAACUUUCCACCUUCUCCACUACUGUCCCGUCGAUGUGGAUAGGGGGGUGCUCCCUCUGCUGUUUCCUGAAGUCCACGAUCAUCUCCUUUAUUUUGUUGACGUUGAAUAUGAGGUUAUUUUCCUGACACCACACUCCGAGGCGCCUCACCUCCUCCCUGUAGGCCAUCUGGUUAUUGUUGGUAAUCAAGCCUACCACUGUUGUGUCGUCUUCAAACUUGAUGAUUGAGUUAGAGGCGUGCAUGGCCACGUAGUCAUGGGUGAACAGGGAGUACAGGAGGGGGCUGAGAGCGCACCCUUGUGGGGGCGCAGUGUUGAGGAUCAGCAGGGUGGAGAUGUUGUUUCCUACCCUCACCACCUGGGGGAGGCCCGUCAGAAAGUCCAGGACCCAGUUGCACAGGGCAGGGUCGAGACCCAUGGUCUCGAGCUUAAUGACGAGUUUGGAGGGCACUAUGGUGUUAAAUGCUGAGGUGUAAUCGAUGAACAGCAUUCUUACAUAGGUAUUCCUCCUGUCCAGAUGGGUUAGGGCAGUGUGGUUGCGAUUGCGUUAUCUGUGGAACUAUUGGGGCGGUAAGCAAAUUGGAGGGUGUCAGCUAGGGUGGAGGUGAUAUGAUCCUUGAUCCUAGUAUCUCAAAGCACUUCAUGAUGACGGAAGUGAGUGCUACUGGGUGAUAGUCAUUUAGCUCAGUUACCUUAGCUUUCUUGGGAACAGGAAGAAUGGUGGCCAUCUUGAAGCAUGUGGGAACAGCAGACUGGGAUAGGAAUUUAUUUAAAAUGUCCAUAAACACAACAGCCAGCUGGUCUGCACAUGCUCUGAGGACGCAGUUGGGGAUGCCAGCCUUGCGAAGGUUAACACGUUUAAAUGUUUUACUCACGUUGGCUGCGGUGAAGGAGAGCCCGCGGGUUUUCAUAGCGGGCUGUGUCAGUGGCACUGUAUUGUCCUCAAAGCGAGCAAAGAAUUUGUUUAGUCCGUCUGGGAGCAAGACAUCCUGGUCCGCGACGGGGCUGGUUUUCUUUUUCUAGUCCGUGGUUGACUGUAGACCCUGCCACAUACGUCUCGUGUCUGAGCCAUUGAUUUGCGACUCUACUUUGUAUCUAUACUGAUGCUUAGCUUGUUCGAUUGCCUUGUGGGAGGAAUAGCUACACUGUUUGUAUUCGGUCAUGUUUCCGGUUACCUUGCCAUGAUUAAAAGCAGUGGUUCGCGCUUUCAGUUUUGCACGAAUGCUGCCAUCGGUUUCUGGUUAGGGAAGGAUUUAAUAGUCACCAUGGGUACCACAUCAUCGAGCCCGGGUCGCGAAUUCGAUAUACUGAUAAAAAUUGAGGGACCCUUGUUUUCAGAUUAGCCCUGUUAAAAUCACCAGCUCCAAUAAAUGCAGCCUCAGAAUAUGUGGUUUCCAGUUUACAUCGAGUCCAAUGAAGUUCUUUCAGGGCCGUCGAGGUGUCUGCUUGGGAGGGGGAUAUACACGACUGUGAUUAUAAUCGAAGAGAAUUCUCUUGGUAGAUAAUGCGGUCGGCAUUUGAUUGUAAGGAAUUCUAGGUCAGGUGAACAAAAGGACUUGAGUUCCUGUAUGUUGUUAUGAUCACACCACGACUCGUUAAUCAUAAGGAAUACAACCCCCGCCCUUCUUCUUACCAGAGAGAUGUUUGUUUCUGUCAUGCGUGAAGAAACCAGGUGGCUGCACCAACUCUGAUAACGUAUCCCGAGUGAGCCACGUUUCCAUGAAACAAAGAAUGUUACAAUCUCUGAUGUCUCUCUGGAAGGCAACCCUUGCUCGAAUUUGGUCUACCUUGUUGUCGAGUGACUGGACAUUGGCGAGAAGUAUAUUCGGGAGUGGUGGGCGGUGUGCCCGUCUACGGAGCCUGACCAGAAGACCGCUCCGUCCGCGGCACCGUUGUUUUGUGUCGCCUGAUCGGAUCCGAUCCAUUGUCCUGGGUGGUGGUCCAAACAGAGGAUCCGAUCCAUUGUCCUGGGUAGUGGUCCAAACAGAGUAUCCGAUCCAUUGUCCUGGGUGGUGGUCCAAACAGAGGAUCCGAUCCAUUGUCCUGGGUGGUGGUCCAAACAGAGGAUCCGAUCCAUUGUCAUGGGUGGUGGUCCAAACAGAGGAUCUGAUCCAUUGUCCUGGGUGGUGGUCCAUACAGAGGAUCCGAUCCAUUGUCCUGGGUGGUGGUCCAAACAGAGGAUCCGCUUUGGGAUAGUCAUAUUCCUGGUCGUAAUGUUGCUGUCUUGGGAAGAAGGUGAGGACCAAGGUGCAGCGUGGUUAGUGUUCAUGAUUUUUAAUAAUAAUCAAAACUGAACACUGAAUAACAAAACAACAAAGAAACAACCGGAACAGUUCUGUCUGGUGUAGACACACAAAGACUGGAAACAACCGGAACAGUUCUGUCUGGUGUCGACACACAAAGACUGGAAACAACCGGAACAGUUCUGUCUGGUGUCGACACACAAAGACUGGAAACAACCGGAACAGUUCUGUCUGGUGUUGACACACAACGACUGGAAACAACCGGAACAGUUCUGUCUGGUGUAGACACACAAAGACUGGAAACAACCGGAACAGUUCUGUCUGGA
ensembl:lncRNA